rnacentral:tRNA from 1 species
GGCGGUGGUCAAACGGUCAUCACGGAGGGCUUUCAACCCUUUUGUCUUGGGUUUGAAUCCUGGUUCCGCCG